rnacentral:sRNA from 1 species
AGGCACGUGCUACCACACCUGGCUGAUAUUUGAAAUAUUUUUUAAUAUAGUAGUUCUCACUUUGCGUAGGACUAUGUUAACUCAACUUGAGCUUAUUGGAGCUGUAUCUUUGCUUUAUUUGACUUUUGGUUACACAGUACCCUGCAUAGCAAGGAUUGCCUAUAUAAAUUUUAAUGAAAGCUAAUUCCUAAAUAUUACUAUUAUUUUACGCAUGUUUGAUUUGUGAACCACAUUUAAUAAUUUCUCAUUUUGAAGCUUUUUCUUUUUUUGAGACAGAGCUUUGCUCUGUCACCCAGUCUGGAGUGCAGUGGUGUGAUCUCCACCUCCCCGGUUCAAGUGAUUUCUUUUGCCUCAGCCUCCUGAGUAGGUGGGAUUAUAGACCUGCACCACCAUGCCCAGCUAGUUUUUGUAUUUUUAGUAGAGACGGGAUUUAACCAUGUUGGCCAGGAUGUUCCAAACUCCUGGCCUCAAGUGAUCUCCCCGCCCUGGCUUCCCAAAGUGCUGGGAUUACAGGUGUGAGCCACCUUGUCCGGCCUUCAUUUUGAAACUUCUUGAGCAUGCUCCUAAGCGUGUAAAUUUGUGGCUGCUGCUUUCUCUGGAGGUACAGUUUUUAUAACAUGAUGCAAGAUGGAUCAUGGAAAAGCUAAUGUAGCAGUUUGUAUUACUCUAUAAUGUGAAGCAGCAUCUUGCAAAAUGGUGAUUUUGUGUGUUUAAAAUUUUUAAAAAUAAUUAUAAAAUAUAUAUCAUUAGGAAUUCUUUUCUCUCUGAAAUAUUUUCAUUUUUUUAGUAAUCAACAAGAUGCCACAUCAGUAGCAACUGAGUCUUCAGAAUCAAGCACUUCAGAUUUGCCUUCAUUCGAAGUUGGAAUUAGAGCAUUGUGUGAGGUGAAUAAUGCUGAGGGUAGUUGUAUAGAAGAAAGAAAUGUUGACCUAAAAAAUAAUUCACUGGAAAUUGAUCAAACAGAAAAUGUUAAACCAAUGUUGAGAGGUCGCUUCCAGAGACCUAAACCCAAUUUGUCAAGGGCUGGGAAGAAAUCAGUUCUUUCACAAGGCAAAACAGAGUCAGAGAGCAAGAAUUCACAUUCAAAAACUUCAGUUGAAAAGAACCACGUGGAAAAAGAUAAAAUGAAUACAUUGGACAUUUUGAGAAUGGAGACUGCAGAGAGAGAGAAUCCAGAAGCUGAAACUGUAUCUGUUUUGGGUGAAAAAAAUUGUCUGCAGGAAGGGAGUCAACUAAAGGCUUUAAGACCUGCACAAGUGAGGGGCCGAUUGCAAAAGCCAAAGCCAAAUGCAGGUAAAGCUGCCGAAAGAAAAGAAAUUCUCAUAUCACAGGAAGAAAUUGGGGCCAAUGUAGAGAAGAAUGAAAAUGAAUCCUGUGCUGAUAGAGAUACUCCUCAACACAUGGAAGAUCAAUCACGUAAAGAUUUUGAAGAGGAAGAUGUCAUAUUACAGCCUGAGAAAAAUGAUUCUUUUCAAAAUGUGCAGCCAGAUGAGCCCAAGGUUCUUAAUGAAUGUCUAAGCGUUCAAGAGAAUAAUAAGGCAAAUAAACUUAACCAAGUCCCAAUUCUAAGGACUCGAUUUCAGAAACCAAAGCCAAAUAUAGGAAGAGGAACUGGAAGGAGAGAAAUUUCCUCAAAGGAAGAGGUACUAGAGAAGAUUCUUGUCUCUGGGGAAAUGGUGGCAGCAUUGAGAGAAACCGUAAGACUAGACACCUCACCAAAGGAGAUGGUACCAGCAGAGAUUAAUACUAAAGAAAUGCAGUCAGAUUUAAAAGAAACUGGAAGAAGAGCCAUUUCUCCCAGGGAGAAGAUUCUAGAUGUGAUUGAUGUCACCAUGGAAAUGGAGACAGGUCUGAAAGCAAUGGGAAGAGAGAUUUGUCUAAGGGAGAAGACGCCAGAGGUGGUUGAUGCCACUGAGGAAAUAGACAAAGAUUUGGAAGAAGCUGGAAGAAGAGAAAUAUCCCCACAGAAAAAUGGCCCAGAGGAGGUUAAGCCUCUAGGUGAAAUGGAGACAGAUUUGAAAGCAACUGGAAAUGAGAGUUCCCCAAGGGAGAAGACACCAGAGAUGACUGAUGCCACUGAGGAAAUAGACAAAAAUUUGGAAGAAACUGGAAGAAGAAAAAUAUCCCCAAGGGAAAAUGGCCCAGAGGAGGUCAAGCCUGUAGAUGAAAUGGAGACAGAUUUGAACGCAACUGGAAGAGAGAGUUCUCCAAGGGAGAAGACACCAGAGGUGAUUGAUGCUACUGAGGAAAUAGAUUUGGAAGAAACUGAAAGAGAAGUAUCCCCACAGGAAAAUGGACUAGAGGAGGUCAAGCCUCUAGGUGAAAUGGAGACGGAUUUGAAAGCAACUGGAAGAGAGAGUUCCCCAAGGGGGAAGACACCAGAGGUGAUUGAUGCCAUUGAGGAAAUAGAGAUAGAUUUGGAAGAAACUGAAAGAGAAAUAUCCCCACAGGAAAAUGGCCUAGAGGAGGUUAAGCCUCUAGGUGAAAUGCAAACAGAUUUGAAAGCAACCGGAAGGGAGAUUUCCCCAAGGGAGAAGACACCAGAGGUGAUUGAUGCCACUGAGGAAAUAGACAAAGAUCUGGAAGAAACUGGAAGAAGAGAAAUAUCCCCAGAGGAAAAUGGCCCAGAGGGGGUCAAGCCUGUAGAUGAAAUGGAGACAGACUUGAAAGCAACUGGAAGAGAGAGUUCCCCAAGGGAGAAGACACGAGAGGUGAUUGAUGCUGCUGAGGUAAUAGAGACAGAUUUGGAAGAAACUGAAAGAGAAAUAUCGCCACAGGAAAAUGGCCCAGAGGAGGUCAAGCCUGUAGGUAAAAUGGAGACAGAUUUGAAAGAAAUUAGAGAAGAAAUUUCCCAAAGGGAAAAGGUGCUAGCAGAGAUCAGUGCUAUAAGGGAAAAGGAGAUUGAUUUGAAAGAAACUGGAAAAAGAGACAUUCCCAUGAUGGAGAAAGUAUCAGGAAAGAUGGCUGUUGUUGAAGAAAUGGAGGCAGAUUUGAAAGAAACUGGAAAAGAAAAUUUUAGAGAGAGAGGAUCUGAAGAGAUCUGUGUUACUGAGGAAAAGGUGGCAGAAUUGAAACAAACUGGAAAAACAGACAUUUCUCCAAGGGAAAACGAGCUAGAGGAGACCAGUACCUCAAGACAAACUGACACACAUUUAAUGCAGAGCGGUAGCAAUGACUGCAGUGCUAUGCCUUCACUAGAUAUUCAAGUAUGUAUUUUUCUGUCCUUUAAAAGUUUUUUGAAUGCUUUUUUCAGAGGAAAUAAAUAAUUCCAUGAUUAUUUUGUCCUUAAGUCCAACAACACUUAAAAAUCUCUAAAAGUCUAAAGUCUUUUGUAGCCCUAAGUUUCUAUGUUUCAGUGCCUUGAAGAAACUGUACGUUCUUUUUUAAAAAGAUAACUUAGGCUG